rnacentral:lncRNA from 1 species
ACUAUUUUUUAUCUGGAAAAUUCAAACUUUCCAGGCUUUAGGGCAGGAUAAAAUGGCUCUGAGCAUGUCAGCGUCUCAAGAGUACAUUAUUUUCUUAUUGGAUUGCAUUAACUUUACAGAUGAAAAUUUGAAGGAGAAUUAGAAGGCUUAGAGAUGGAAAAUUCGGAGAAGAAAAGAAUUAUGUCUUCAGAUUUCUGGAGGGGCUAGCUGGUGACUACGAGUCCAGAGAACAUUCACCACGACAUUCAUUAGAAGGGAGGAGUGAAAGGUGUCCACCAGAGCAUCUUCUGAUUCUCCUCAGAGCUCUGUGUGUGAGUUAUAUAAGUCCUCAGGAGCCUGCAGGCCUGGAGCAAAGUCAUGCUACAGGAAGAGAACUGCUGACAAUAGCAUCCUGGUACCCCAGGGACCUGAGAGAGACUGCCCAAGACACACUGCUCCAAGGCUGGUGGAAGCUGGAAGUGAACAAGAAAGGUAACGACUGUGAUAGGACAAGAGGAACCACAGACUGCAAGGGGGACAGGAAGUGCACAGAGCCACCACAAGGUAAUCCUGCAAGCCACUAAGGGAGAUGCCCACAUCCAUGGAGAGUCACCAUGUGAGUCCUGCAGAGGAAGGGACUGUUAUCAGCUGUGCUAGGUGCUGUCUCAGUGUACCCAGGGCAAGCAGGCCAGGUGUCCCAAUGUUUUAAGAUCCUCGUGACUUUCACCAUUGAGCGUUUACUCUUAACACGGCCCACUUACCUUUAAACACUUGCUACAUGUCAGGUAUUAUGGGAUACAAGCCAGGAGGAGCAGUGGUGCAUGCCUGUAAGCUCCAGCAUUUGGAA